rnacentral:rRNA from 1 species
UACAGAGGUGGCAAGCGUUGUUCGGAAUUACUGGGCGUAAAGGGCGCGUAGGCGGUCUUGCAAGUCCCGUGUGAAAUCCCUCGGCUUAACCGGGGAACUGCGUCUGAUACUGGCAGGCUUGAAUCCGGGAGAGGGACGUGGAAUUCCAGGUGUAGCGGUGAAAUGCGUAGAUAUCUGGAGGAACACCGGUGGCGAAGGCGGCGUCCUGGACCGGUAUUGACGCUGAGGAGCGAAAGCCAGGGGGAGCAAAC